rnacentral:rRNA from 1 species
GAUGAACGCUGGCGGCGUGCCUAAUACAUGCAAGUCGAGCGAACGGACGAGAAGCUUGCUUCUCUGAUGUUAGCGGCGGACGGGUGAGUAACACGUGGAUAACCUACCUAUAAGACUGGGAUAACUUCGGGAAACCGGAGCUAAUACCGGAUAAUAUUUUGAACCGCAUGGUUCAAAAGUGAAAGACGGUCUUGCUGUCACUUAUAGAUGGAUCCGCGCUGCAUUAGCUAGUUGGUAAGGUAACGGCUUACCAAGGCAACGAUGCAUAGCCGACCUGAGAGGGUGAUCGGCCACACUGGAACUGAGACACGGUCCAGAUUCCUACGGGAGGCAGCAGUAGGGAAUCUUCCGCAAAGGGCGAAAGCCUGACGGAGCAACGCCGCGUGAGUGAUGAAGGUCUUCGGAUCGUAAAACUCUGUUAUUAGGGAAGAACAUAUGUGUAAGUAACUGUGCACAUCUUGACGGUACCUAAUCAGAAAGCCACGGCUAACUACGUG